rnacentral:lncRNA from 1 species
GAACCCAAAUAAUAACUUCUGGUUAGCCAUUUUGGGUGAGGUCCUGGGUUGUUACAUUUAAUAUCUAAGAAUUUCUUCUUAUAGAGCCAAGUCCAAGUAUUGUACCAAUAUUUGCAAAUAAGUUUCAGGUUUGUGUACCAUGGGAUGGACUGAAGGGACUGGGUAAAAAAGAUUGCUAUAUUUUAAACUUGUGUUGGAAAAGAUCCAUCCUAGGAUUGACAAAAAUAAACCAGGCUUAAGAUAAGAUGAAAAAAGCAAAAUCGGACUAGAUGGAAUACCAACUAUAGUAUGGACAAACUGCACAGACUAACACUUGACUUGCAAAUUGUGUAGUUUUAAUAAGAUGAUGAAGCACAAGGUCAUGAUAGACAUCUUGAAAACACAAAAUUACCCCUUAGACGAGCAAUGGUGGUAUUUGAACAACACCAAUCAACAUGAAAUCAAAUUACAAAGUCACAUCAUGAGCUAUAGACAAUAGUACUGUGAGGACCCGUGCGGGCAUGUGUUUAGUCCCACAUCGGUUAUUCGCUGGAUAGAUCUUGGGUAUUUAUACAGGAUCAAGGAACCCAAAUAGUAACUUCCGGCUAGCCAUUUUGGGUGAGG